rnacentral:lncRNA from 1 species
UCAAACGCCGCUAUUUUAAAAUACUGUUCCAACUGUUAUAUUAAAGGACUUCAAUUUAGAGUUAUCCAAACGGAACACAAUUGUUUAAAAUUGAAUUAAAUUAAGAAAGUUUGAUAUAUUUAUUUAAAAUUAUGAAUCAUAUCAAAUUAUUAGAUUAAAGAAUUGAACUAUUAUAUUUUUUUUAAUAAAGAAUUUUAAAUUUUUUUUUUAACAUUUUUAAUUUUUAAUUUUAU